GACUACGUGGCCUAAUGGAUAAGGCGUCUGACUUUGGAUCAGAAGACUAAGGGUUUGAGUCCCUUCGUAGUUG